AUGGCAGUGUCUGCUGCUCAUCAAAGGCAGUGGUUCAGUCAAGCACUCAGUCAGGACUUUCCCACUGCACAGACUGAGGGGGAUCCAGUCUUCCCCACACUGCAAGAUUCUGGUGCAAAGCUGUUUUGCAUUUUCCACAGUAGCCCGGGUAGAAACUUGUUUGCAGUUAACCCAUGCAGGAUCUGCACUCCUGAGCAUCAGCAUGGAAAUCUUCAGGGUAACAACUCCCAGUUCCACCAGCCAGCCUCAGGAAUAGAAAUAGUGGUGUUUCCAGUUCUGGAGUGCAGAGAGAGGAAAGAAAUUGCUGUAUUCAUGGAAAAUAUUCAGCAGAAGAGUGAAAGCUCCUGCUUGGAAAUGCAGAAUGAUGCUCAGUCUUGGUGAUCCUGUCUGCCUGCAUCAGGUGGAUGUUGUGCACCACGGACCAUCCUAAGGGAAGUGAGAAGUGCAACAUGACAACACGAAGUGGCUCUUCCCCAACAUCACGCAAACUGCCUGUGACAGAGCUGGGAAACCUGACCCACAGCAUCCUAAUCCCAGGCCAGGACUGACAGCCCAUCUCCCGGUGUUGGAGGGCGGGCUGGGAAAAGCCAGAUCCCCGAUCAUCCCCAGUUUUCCUCCAGCGGCUGC
rnacentral:lncRNA from 1 species